AGUUCCUGUUGGUGAUUCAUAACAUAGUAGCAAAACUAAUGCAUUUAAAAAUGAAGUUCCAAUUAUUAGAAUAUGAAAAAAUUAAGAUUAAAUAUCUUUUUCCUAACUCAAAAACCUACCGGUCAAAACUAACCUGAACCAUGAGAAGUAAAACCUACCAUUCAAGAGGGUUGAGAUAUGGCACAUUAGCCACUCCAUAUUCUUAACCAAUCUAAUUUCACCAUCUUAUUUCAUCAUCUUCAACAUUCAUCUUAUUCUUUCUUUCUUUCAUUCAUUCAUUCUCUCUCCUGGAAAAGUUGAUGCUUAACAUAGUUUUCUUCACCCUACAAAGCCAGCCUCAAAGUUCUGCAGCGGCAAAGAUGAUACCGGAGGUUUUCAGCCAUGGACAAAGUCGUCUUAUUUACUGAAACUGGAAAGCGUUGCAACAUCAAAAAGAGUCUGCCAGAAGAAAACAACAGAGAGAUUGUCAGGAGACUGCCUAAAAUGUAAGUUUGUUGUCAAAAUUUACACACUGUAAUGACCCAUAAAACCUAAUUUAAAAGUACCAGGCAGAGAUACCCUUUUUGUGUUCCUAAGCUCACCUAAGUACCAUAUUAUUUUUCAUAUGAAGGAUACCUAAGUACCAUAUUAGGAUAUAGUUUUUGCCAUCAGCAAAUGAGCAAUAUUGCUUGGUGGAAGAAAAUAGAUAUGUCAGUGGGUUCAAUUUCAAUAAGAAUAUGAUAAACAUAUCCAUUAGGUUGUUCAACAAAAGCACAAAUAAGAGAUGUUAUAUGAAAUGAUAAAAUAAUAAAUAUUUGUUUUUUCA